AGCACUAUAUGUUUGCAUUGUUUAAUUUUCAUUUUGCUUUCCAAUAGAGAAACUCAUUGGAGUACAUUGUACAAAUGGAAUUAAUAGAACAGGUUACCUUAUAUGCAGAUAUCUUAUUGAUGUUGAAGGUUGGGAUCCAGAAACAGCAAUCCAAGCUUUUGGAGACGCACGUGGUCACCAUAUAGAUGGUCAUAUAUAUCUGACAGAUCUUAAAACUCAACCAAUGAGAAGCAACCUGGGAAUGAAUAUGUGGGAUGCUGAUGGAGAUAUUGUGCCACCGCCAGAUGAUAUAGACAGACAUAUGGAUCGAUUUCCAAAUGAAGAAUAUCCUAGAUCUGGUAAAAGACUAAGAGCUUAUGAUGAUGGCCCCAAUGACUUACCAGAACAGAUCCGAUUGAGAGAGUUUGAUUUUAUUAAUAAGGGUCCUGGGCAACGUCGCAAACCAUAUCAUGAUCACCAGUUUCAUGAUGACAUGCAGCCACCACUGCCACAAAUAAGACAAAAGCAUUUCCCUGACCACCAGUUUCAUGAUGACCGCCAAGAAGAAAUGGAGAUUAAAGAUUUAACAUUUAGUACAAGAGGACCAGGACCCAGAUUUCAACCUUUUGAAGGCCACCAGCUUGAUGAUGACUUUCUAGGAAAUAUAACAGGUGGAGACAUUAAUAUGAACUGUAGUCAAAGGCAUAGACAUUUUGCCGACACUCCUUGUUAUAACCACAAACCGACAGAUAGCCAGCUCAAUGGCGGCCGAGGAGAAAGACGAAGACCAUUUUACAAUCGGCAGUCUAGUGAUGAUUUUCAGUCAUCCUUGCAGGACAAAAAUCAGUUUUUCCUGAACAAGAGACCUGUGGAAAGACUAAGACUAUUUCAGAACUGUCCUGUUCGUGAUGAUGUCCAUUCACCAAUGGGAGAUUUUGAGUAUGUGACUAGAGGGUGUGGACAGAGAAUGGUACCUUUCCUUGACCAGCAGCAUCACAGUGAAUUAAGAAGAAAAUUGUCAUUAGAAGAUUUUGAUGAUGAAGAUUCCGAUAGAAGAAGUAGACCAUUCCUUGAUAAUCAGUCAUACUGUGAUUUUAGUCAGAAGUCACAGCUGAAAGAUUUCCAAAACAGGGGAUCUGAACAAAGGCUGAAUUCUUUUAAUGAUCAUUCAACUCACAUUAAUGAGCCAUAUGAGGAAUAUUCUGAAAGAAGCCAUCGUUUUCCUUCUCAUGAGUACUACUCAGAAUCUCCCUUACUUCAGAGAGAUUAUGGUUCUGAUAAAGAUAAUUAUAGUAGAACUUGCAGAUCUGAUUGCCCUGACGAUUACAGGAAAAUCCAUCCUUCGGAUGCAAUUAACAGAGGAGGAAAAGCUAGAUUUGCUCCAUAUUCUUCUUAUCCAACCCUUCACUCUUCAUCUUCAAAUCAGGAACUGAGUUCAAUCUCAUUGCACAGUGGAAGGGAACAUCAGUGUGAACUUAAGAGAGAGAUGAGCCAGGGGAAAAGAUUACCAGUUGUAACAAUUGAUUAUAAUUAUGGCUUGCCUUUAGACUAUGCUUCUGAAGAGGAAGACAGAGCUCAUUAUGUUUCACAUGCAACACAGCACUACAUUUUGAAAUGAAUUGGAUGUGUACCUGCAUGCAUUAUUUUAUCAUCUUCCUGUAUAUCGACCAAAUUACUUCUGAAGCUAAAAAAAAGCUUCAUUAUCAUUCAACAUCACAAAACGUAUCUGUAACAAGUCUAGUUCUGUUUUUUCACAUUUAAAUGAUAAUUGUUGAAAACAAUUCCUUUUAUGUAAAAUUAAACUAGUUCUCAUUCAUGAGACUGAACAACCAUAACCAUGAACAACCGCAAAUAGUGCUCCCUGCUUUCCUCAACAUGACAUGUAUGAAAUGUUUCGGCUAAAAUGUAAUAAAACAAUUGGAUUACUGAUUUUGAUAGAAUGU
rnacentral:lncRNA from 1 species